rnacentral:rRNA from 1 species
CCUACCUUUUACUGGGGGAUAGCCCGUCGAAAGACGGAUUAAUCCCGCAUGAUACUAUGUGAGGGCAUCUGAAGAUAGUUAAAGAUUUAUUGGUAAAAGAUGGGCAUGCGUGCCAUUAGCUAGUUGGUCGGGGUAACGGCCCNCCAAGGCGGCGAUGGCUAGGGGUUCUGAGAGGAUGAUCCCCCACACUGGUACUGAGAUACGGACCAGACUCCUACGGGAGGCAGCAGUAGGGAAUAUUGGGCAGAUGGACGGAAGUCUGACCCAGCCAUGCCGCGUGCAGGAUGAAGGCCUUCUGGGUUGUAAGCUGCUUUUAUCUAGGAGAAAAAACCCUUGCGAGGGGAACUGCGG